GGGUGCACUCGGUCAUCAGGAAGACCUGAGCAAGAGAUCACAGACCAGAAGUGGGGCUUCUGCCUCCCAGCAGCUCCCUAGGUCACUGUGACACACAUGCCUCCAGACUCCUGGUGGGGGACACGAGGGAGGAGCAGCGGGCCAGACACACAGGGAGGUAGAGAGGCUCCCUACUGCACCACGUCGUGAGGAGGAGGUAGAGAGCCUGGGACGAAAGUCGAGAGAGUCUGAGGGUCAAGCCUCAGGGGCAAGGACAGCAGGGCCCCGGCUGUGAGGGAGACAAGGAAUCCCAAGGAAGAGCCCGGCAGGGUGGCCGAGCCUCGGUGAGCCACUCCGUGUGCCACACGUGCAGGAAGCACCCAAGGAGACAAGCAGCAGUUGGUGACAAACGGACGUGACAAAGGUGACAGAGGAGCCCCUGGAUAGGAGAGAAGUGAUCAGCAAGGCAGGCAGACUUGGCCGAGCAUCUGCAUCCUCUGGGCCCCCUCCCCGUCCACCCCGUUCACUCUCCCGGAAGCUCUGUCACUCUCUGCAGGGUGCCUUUGUGUGAACAGAAGUUUGAAUCGAUAAAAUUGAAAUUGCAUCAUA